rnacentral:misc_RNA from 1 species
GAUGAAGAACGCAGCGAAAUGCGAUAAGUAAUGUGAAUUGCAGAAUCCAGUGAAUCUUCGAAUCUUUGAACGCACAUUGCGCCCGCCAGCAUUCUGGCGGGCAUGCCUGUUCGAGCGUCAUUUCAACCCUCGACCUCCCCUUGGGGAGGUCGGCGUUGGGGACCGGCAGCACACCGCCGGCCCUGAAAUGGAGUGGCGGCCCGUCUGCGGCGACCUCUGCGUAGUAAUACAGCUCGCACCGGAACCCCGACGCGGCCACGCCGUAAAACACCCAACUUCUGAACGUUGACCUCGAAUCAGGUAGGACUACCCGCUGAACUUAAGCAUAUCAAUACGGAGGA